GCGGGUGAGGCCCAUCGGUUGGGCAUUGGGCUUCCAUCCCACAUAGGCGGGUUCGAUUCCCGCCACCCGCUCCA
rnacentral:tRNA from 1 species